GCGGCGGGCGAGGGGCGGGGCGGGGAGCGGCAUAUAUAAGGCGAGGGGCGGGCGCCGCUCUUUUGUCUCUUGCUGCAGCGACGCGAGUGGGAGCACUAGCAGCGCGGGCUCGGAGUGGGACUCUACGGAUUGUUGUAAGAAUAUGGCAGACAAGCCGGACAUGGGAGAAAUCGCCAGCUUCGAUAAGGCCAAGCUGAAGAAAACCGAGACGCAGGAAAAGAACACCCUGCCGACCAAAGAGA